UUGGAGACAUCAUAGACGUUCGACUUCACGGCCAGAGGUUCUCUGCUUCAGACUAGGAGCAUAACUAAAUUCUACCGCCUGGUAAAUGGCCCGCAAUUUAAAGCGGAGACACUAGGUGGUGGUAUGCAGCUGCUAAAUGGCUGUUAGCAUGUCCGAAUUCUAGCAUGUCCGCAAAUUAAAGCAUGACCUAAACGACUGCUUAAGCGGCUAAGUGAAGGCUGCUAAGCAGGGUCCCAGCUAUUUCCCAGCUACCGAUUUAUGCCAACUGUUGUGAAACUGUCGUGAAUCGGGAUUAAUGACAAGCAAAAAGGAAGUCCCAGACUCAGAGAUCACUGCUGAAAGUCACUGUAAGCUUUGCUUUUGGACACAGAUGCUAUUAGUACCAUGAGGUAACAGGUCUCCUCCAUCACAUUUCCCUCUCCUCCCAUGCACUACCUCACUACAGGCACAAAGGCAAAAGAGCCAGUGGGCGACAGUGGAGAGGUCCCAGGUGUGCAUUCCAGGCACUCAAGCAAUACAUACAGACUAAGCCUGUUUGGGUGCACAGCUCCAGGAUGUAGCAUUUCUAAAGCUGAGAACAGAUGAGGGAACAGGCUGGAAUGUAAAAGACAAUGCCCUGUGUUCCUGCAAUGCCAGCUACAAAGCCCAUCACUUCUACAAAUAAAACCCAAACAACUCA